rnacentral:rRNA from 1 species
UACGUAGGGAGCAAGCGUUGUCCGGAAUCAUUGGGCGUAAAGCGCGCGUAGGCGGCCAUAUAAGUCCGUUGUGAAAGUCAAAGGCUCAACCUUUGAAAGCCGAUGGAUACUGUGUGGCUAGAGUACGGGAGAGGCGAGUGGAAUUCCUGGUGUAGCGGUGGAAUGCGCAGAUAUCAGGAGGAACACCAAUAGCGAAGGCAGCUCGCUGGGACGUUACUGACACUGAGGCGCGAAAGCGUGGGGAGCGAACAGG